GGCAGCGGGCAUCCCAGGGUGCGUGCGGUGCAGGGUGUGCAAGAGGAUGCGAGGUUGGAGGAGGAGCUUUAAAUGGAUUUGGACUCCUCAGGAGGAUUUGCUAAUGGUCUGAACAAGUGUAUAGAACACCGCAAAAGAUUUGGAUACUAUUCCCGUUUUGAUCUAUUCUGCCAAUCUCUACCAAGAACUUGAUUAAAGAUCUGAGAUGCUGUCCCUGGCCUACCCAAGUUUUAAUCUUCUCUUAAAUGUCAACUCAACAACAACACAUAUGGCAAGGGUAAAAACCCUCAAUGUAGAGUUUUUACAAAUCAACAAGAAAAUAAAGAUGAACGUUCGAACUGAAAAACAUGUGCAACAGAAACAAAACCCAAAAUGGCCAGUAAAUGUGAUAGGAGGUUCAACAGGAAAAUGGAUAUCCAUACCCUACUAGUGGAAUUUUUAAUUGGUACAACAUUGCUGGAAGGCAGUUUAAUAGCAUUUGUGAAAAGCCUUUUUAAAAAAGUAUACAUUUGACUUAGCAAUUCUACUUCUGGGAAAGAAUGGAACAAGCUUGCAAAUACACAAACACAUGCGCACGUAUGAUGGGAAUAAUUGGAACAUUGUUUAUAAUAGUGAAACACUGAGAAAAGUUCAUUAAUAAGGGAUUUGGUGUGUAAAUUAUGUUAUAUCUAUAAUAGAAUACUAUCUAGCCAUAAAAUUAUAACAUUGCCAUUUAUUUAUUUAUUUAUGUGGAAAGAUUUUCACAACA